rnacentral:rRNA from 1 species
UACAGAGGGUGCGAGCGUUGUUCGGAAUUAUUGGGCGUAAAGCGCUUGUAGGCGGCACGUCAAGUCGCGUGUGAAAUCCCCAGGCUUAACCUGGGAAGUGCGCGCGAAACUGACGAGCUUGAGUGCCGGAGAGGGUCGCGGAAUUCCCGGUGUAGAGGUGAAAUUCGUAGAUAUCGGGAGGAACACCAGUGGCGAAGGCGGCGACCUGGGACGGACACUGACGCUGAGACGCGAAAAGCGUGGGGAGCAAACAGGG